UACGUAGGGUGCAAGCGUUGUCCGGAAUUAUUGGGCGUAAAGAGCUCGUAGGCGGUUUGUUGCGUCGGCUGUGAAAUCCCGAGGCUCAACCUCGGGUCUGCAGUCGAUACGAGCAAACUAGAGUGUUUGCAGGGGAGACUGGGAAUUCCUGGUGUAGCGGUGAAAUGCGCAGAUAUCAGGAGGAACACCGGUGGCGAAGGCGGGUCUCUGGGCAACAACUGACGCUGAGGAGCGAAAGCCGUGGGGAGCGAACAGG
rnacentral:rRNA from 1 species